rnacentral:rRNA from 1 species
CCUACGGGAGGCAGCAGUGAGGAAUAUUGGUCAAUGGGCGCGAGCCUGAACCAGCAAAGUCGCGUGAAGGAUGACUGCCCUACGGGUUGUCAACUUCUUUUAUAAAGGAAUAAAGUGAGGCACGUGUGCCUUUUUGUAUGUAUUUUAUGAAUACGGAUAGGCUAACUCCGUGCCAGCAGCCGCGGUAAUACGGAGGAUCCGAGCGUUAUCCGGAUUUAUUGGGUUUAAAGGGAGCGUAGAUGGGUUGUUAAGUCAGUUGUGAAAGUUUGCGGCUCAACCGUAAAAUUGCAAUUGAUACUGGCAGCCUUGAGUACAGUUGAGGUAGGCGGAAUUCGUGGUGUAGCGGUGAAAUGCUUAGAUAUCUCGAAGAACUCCGAUGGCGAAGGCAGCCUACUAAACUGCCACUGACAUUGAUGCUCGAAAGUGUGGGUAUCAAACAGGAUGAGAUACCCGUGUAGUC